UGGCAGUCGUCAGGGAAACCAAGGACUUCUACAGCCAUCCAGCUACAGGUGCAAAUUGGUCAGAGGGAACCACAGGCAGGACAACACUUACACUAAUAUCUGGAUUGAUCCAUGAAAUAUUCCUUACCAUUAGCAUCAUGCUCUGUUUAUAACUGGAGUGGGCUUUUCUGACUAGUUAGUUCUGUUAGUUUCAUUAGAGUUUUAUGGUUCAUUAAUUUGGUUGGCUCCAUUUGGGAGUUCUGUUUCAUUGGGAGUUUGGUGUUAGUUCAGGCUUUUGGCUUGCUGCCAUUUUCCAGUUGGCCUCUAAGGCAUUUCUUCCUUUUGCCUUUUUACUCUCUCCCCAGAAUCAGCUGUUCAGGACUAGGGUGUUAUCACCUUUGGGACAGGCUGUUCAGCAUGACUGGAGUUUUGGAUACAUUAAAGAUAAAUGGAUUAAGAAAGCCAAAGGUUUGACAAUGUGACAAACAAAACUGGAGCUGUUGAAAUUCGACAUGCAGCUGGAUAGAUAUAUCUUCUUCAAGGAAAUUGUCUUCUGGAGCAUUUGUUUAUUUGCUCAACAGUGUGCAUGAGCAGAGGGGAAACACGGACAAAGAAAAACAGUAAUCUGUAAAUGACUGCAACUGAGAGGUCACCUUCUAAAAUCUCCAAGUUCAGGAAACCUCACUCUUUUCUGGGAGGUGACUACUGAUCUUCUGCACACCAUCGUGAGCACUGGUGCAAAAGUACAGGACUUACAGAUGUCUUCACACCCCAUUAUCUCCUGCUUCUGAAAGAAUGGCAAAAUAAAGGAGUUGCAGCACUUUAUGAAGGCUGGAAUGAGGGGUCUGUGCCACUUACUCAGCCCAGAGGCAACCACAAAGGAGUGAUCCAGCUUCGACUUCUGUUUCUGCAAAUCCUGUUUUAUUGGAAAACCCAGGGAACUGUCUCAAAAUCUGCAUUACAAUAUGAAAAUAUUAUUAUAGUCACUGAGGAGGCCAGGACACAGCAGCCAGUUCCCAGGGUGCCUGCCGUGCUCUGGCAGGCCACCAGUCACAUGCAGAUCACAAGGCUCCACUUCUCCAGUUAUUGGGAUGAACUUGCCAAGCACUGUUCUGCCAGUUUAUGCCUGUUAUCAGAAUCCAAACAUAUGAUGGGAACCUGCCCAUCCUGAAGCACUGGUACUCUGAGAAUUACAACUUCACAGUUUUUUGCCACGUGGACUAUUGUAUGAAGAUCUUCCCCUUGAUUGCUGCCACAUCUUCAACAAAGCACAAGCCAGUGACUGGUGUUUCCUGAAGUGUCAGGAUUUUGUUUUCCUGGCCAAACCAGAGGUGACGCUUGCAGGACUGCUGUACUAUUGAGGUAUUGAAAUAGUCACCUAUAGAAACUUCAAAAUGUGUUAAACAAGUACCAUAUCACUAGAUAUUUUGAAACAAUUUCUGAUUCAGACAAAGGUUAUUCCAGAAUCUAAGAUCUAGACACAUAUUUCCUAAUUUUCUUACCUUUUCUCACAGUCUCAUAGGCUGAAAAAUCCUGUUCUAACUGGUCAGAGUCCUAAUUCACUAAGCCCCUCUCUUAGUUCCCUUUCUUCCUCUUCCUUUAACUCUUUAGCUGAUAGCUCAUUUGUGCCCUCUUCCCACAUUUGUUGUCAGUCCUGGUCUUCCUGAAUUUCAUUUUUUCCCAAUACACUAGUUACUACUUUCCCACAUCCCACUUUCUUUUUCCAUUAGAAGCUCUGUUUUCUAUUUUGCCUCUGUCUGGUUAGCCUGUUUCUUUUCCUCCCUAAUGCCAACUUUUAUUUCUGGUCUUUCUAGAUUCUAUUCUUUGUCCUAUCUGCAGUUCCAGGUCUUCUAAAAAGUUCUUGUCUUUUUAAAAUUGCUUUUAUUCAACCUUGUUGAAAUAAGUGAUAGAGAAACUGAAACGAUGGAAGAAACUGAACUUCAGUUGUUGUUCCAUGCUCAGAUACAACACAGAUCAGCAGUUCAAAACCCUAAGUGUUCAUGAGCAUGAAUAAAAUUUUUGAAAACAUAUGUCUUUCCCAUGAUGUGGACGUUUUCAGAGUCUAUUAGAAUAUAAAUCUUUGACAAAUACCUUAUCUUCUUUGCCAUUUCACAACUCUGCUCCAAGCCUCUGAGGAGUUUGAGCUUUGAGGAAAGGGAGUAGAUUAAUAAGGGAGAAACCCAAUGUAUUUCUCAGAAAAAUUUGAAUCAUAUGGUUUGCACUUCUGAAGCAUUCAGAAACUUGCUAUGAAAAUGUCUUUUCAAAGGAUUUGGUAAAAUUCUUAAGACAUGAAAGUGGGGUCAUUUGUUGGAUAGUAUUAACCAACCUUAAAAAGAAGAGAUGACUCCAGCUUCACCUACAAUUAGUCAGAGGAAGGUUUUAAUUAUGGAGUCAUUUGUCAUAAUUUGUCCUUGACAGAAUGCUAUGGUAGAAUUAUUACCCCAUAAUUUGCAGUGAACUGCUAAUACAUGAUUAGUAGCAGUGGACUGUCUUUCUUUGAAACUAUUUCCCACCACACGUGCAUAAAAACCCGAGAUAACUAUGAAAUGCAAGAUCAAACAUCUGUGAAACAGAUUUUAUGCUACAUUCUCCUAAGAUGUGCUUUGUUCUAGCAUCAUCUAUACCACAUUAACUCGAUGUUAUGUAACCUCAUAAAAAUGCAAGAUAUAACACAUAUCACCCAUGUAUAAGUGGUGGUAAGCAUCAGUUAAAUCUCUGUUUAAUGGAUGUUCAAAUCUCUGUUCUAGCUGUAAAGAAUCUGGUCUGUAUCACAUCAUUUACUUAGUGACAAUAAAAUAUGUUGGCUGCAAG